UGCCCUAGCAGCGGGAACAGUACUGCAGCGGGCGCUCGGCUCUGGAGUAUUGUUGCCGCUGCCCGGGCA
rnacentral:pre_miRNA from 12 species